UAUUAAGACACAGAAAAGUUUAAAUAACUGCAGAAAGCUAAUGAAUGAGAUGAGUAAUUCAAGACUAUCUAAAUUUAUUAGAAGAUCAUACAAUUCCCAAGAGCCAAUCUGAACUUAUACAUGAGAUAUUUGCAGCAUCAAAUUCAAAAUACUAAAAAUAGAAGAUAUAGUGAAAACUGGACACUUUUGUGUCUUCUUUUUCAAAUUAGAUCUCCUAGUGGUUACAAAUUUUUGAGAGAAUAUAACAUUCUUCCAUUGCCAUGUGUAAAUACAGUUCGAAGAAAUCUUUUAGCUGUUCAAGUUGGUUGUGGUUUUGACUUUAAACUUUUUCAAACUAUUAAAAAAAAGUUCACUACCAAAACUGAAAAACAGAAAAUAGGUGUUCUGUUAUUUGAUGAAGUUUUCUUGAGAGAGAGCAUAAGUGUUAACAGUCGCACUUUACAUACACUAUGGGCUAGAAGACUAUGGUAAUGAAAUAGAAAAUAAAAUAAAUAGCUCUGAAAAAGCCAACCAUGGGUUGGUUUUAAUGUGGCAAAGUUUAGCUGCUAAUUUUACUCAGCCCAUAGCUGUUUUUUCAUCAAAAGGUCCAGUAAAAGGUGUAGAUCUUGCAAAAAUUGUUAUUAAAGCUAUAAUAUUGCUGGAAAAAUGUAGGAGCAAAAGUCGUUGGCUUGACUAGUGAUGGGGCACUACUAACCGUACUCUAUGGAAGGAACUGGGUAUAAGUGUCAAAAAAGAAGAUUUCAAAAAUUAUUUUAAAAAUCCUUUUGAUUUCAAUAGAAAUAUUUUUGUUUUUUCUGAUACACCUCAUCUAAUGAAAACUGUUCGCAACCGUCUAUAUCAGAAAAACAA